GAGAGAGAUAGUAAAGCUCUGUCUCGGGUGUGCGCGCCGGCGCGCGGCGCUCGCUCUCCCCGGGGCGCGCGCCAAGGAGGGGGUGCGCGUCCCCGGGGUGCGCGUGCGCGCCGACUCCCGCGUGCUCUUGCGCGCGCGCGUCCCCGGGCGCCGCGCGCCCCGCGCCCCGCGUCCGGCGCCAGCACCGAUACAGUGCGCCAGGCGGCCGGCCAGAGGCUCGACGAGCGCUACGCGGCCGCUGUGCCUUCCCGUAGUUCUUGCCUCCCGGGGGCGCGGCGCGGACCUGUCGCAGCCGAAGAGCUGUCGUUUCAUCGCCGGGGUUCAGAUGAAUUGAUCCAGUCCUCAGCGGACGGGGCACAUCUCAGUUCCCGAAAUGCUGCGUGUCUCCGGCUGGAACAAUACUAGUUUUUCUCAGCGAGGCUGCAAUUAACAUCUUGUUUGUUCUGGCUAGAUACAGGCUUUGUCAGGACCGCGGUGCGGCGACCGAGGACUUCAGGACUAUGGUGAAUAAAAGUCAUGAGAGUGGACAUCCUUGUCCUGUUCCUGAUCUUAGAGGGAAA